rnacentral:lncRNA from 1 species
AUGCUCCUCUUUGCGACCUUCGCGUUUCUUGUAGAUUUAUCCUGGGCUCUUCCAACAGAUAUCAUUAUUCAAUUCGAGCGCAGUGUUUUGCUAAACGGGACCGUAGUUGAGAGGAUCCUUGUCAGUGAUGCAAAUUUAAAGGGACAUUUCGACAAGCAACCUGUUGUCAGACCCAUUCAAGACGAAGUCCUGAAGACGAUGGUGGAGAAUGAUCAUGAAACAUCAAGUUAUGGCACAUAUAUACGUUUGAGGGAAUGUAAGCUGCGAGGAUAUCGAGUCCUGCAGCUGUCCGACCGGUUUCAGCUCAAUGGCAAAGAUUAUUUGACUUUAGAUUCAGACAGAGAUUCGUGGACAGCGUUGAUGCCAGAGGCGCAUGAUCUAAAGAAGUCAUGGACGCUUAAGGCCGAGCAUGCGAGUCUAGAGAAAACUCACCUGAAAGAAGAAUGUGAGGAAUUCGUUAAACAGAUAAAUGAUGCACAGAAUCAAGAAGGGCUUGGUGUGUUAAGAGUGAUGGCUCCAGUUCUCGCCACUUUUCUCUUCACUGUAUUUGUCUUUAUGAGCCUCCUUAUCUUCAAGCGACACGGUCAUCACCCAGGAGGUGUUUUAGGCUCAAUUAUCCACUAUCCAGCCCAUCAUCUUGAAGCACCAUUGAACAACAAACAGAGUCAAAAGGACAUCUCUCAAGUUCCAAUGCUGAAAGUUCCCAAUAGCAAUCACCUAACCUGCCCAACCACAUUAUUGUGAAGAGUCAACUCUGUGUCAUAAUUUCAGAAGUCUUAGACUGAUUUGAAAGUUCAGUAAUAAAAUUGUUCAAAAGUAAAUAUCAUUAUAUGUCUUUUUUUAUAUUAUUAUUAGGGGCCAGGCACCAAAGGUGCGUAGGCACCUAUUGUAUCUGUUGGCAUUCUUCUUCUUCCGCUCUUGAGUCUAUGGCAGCCCAAAGAACUGAUUGCGGGAAAGUUGUGAAAUUUGGCACACUGAUAGGGGACAGUCAGAGCAGUCACCAUAGCAAAUUUGGAGUCUCUAACUCAAACUCUCUAGCGCCACCACUUGUCCAAAUUUUCACUCAUGUUAAUGCUAAUAAUAAAUCCUUGGCUCAUGCUGAGUCGAAUGAAGUCCAAAAUGUAAAAAUCGUAAGGUUUAGUUUAUUCUCUAUUUUAAAUUGUUCGCAAAACUACUUUUUUUGAACUCGUCCUAGACGGUUUGUCUGAUUCUCACCAAAAUGAGCUCAGAUCAUCUUCAGACCAUGCUUGCAAAAAUUAAUGGAAUUCAAGUUGAUUCAUUCAUUUUCAAAUAAUGCGCUAACGAAUUUGACGAAAAGCACACAAAAAUGGAUCUGAGUUAUAACAAGCAUGACCUGAGACUACCUGCAGUGGUUUGGUGCUGUGCCACCUAGUGGUCAGGAGAUAUGAAAAAUGCAUAUUUUUGCUUAUAACUUUUGAAAAUCACAAGAUUAGAUUAGAUUGGGUGCAUCAUGCUGAGUCGAAUGAUUCCCAAUUUUCUCAUGUCAGGCAUUUUGGGCGUUGGCCAUUUUGAAUUUUGUAGUAAGAUGCUAUAUUUUACAAACGCAUCGACGUAUUGUUAUGAAACUUGGUAUGCUUCUUCGGCACCAUGGCCUGAUGUUACUCAAAAAUUUGGGGGGCAGCACAACCUUGUGGUCAAAAUUUGUAAUGAAAUUUCUAAAAAUGAUAAUAACUUUUGUUAACACUAGCCUAUUGUAAUGAAACUGGUUUUAAUAGAUUUCUUGGAUCAUGCCGAGAACAUCAAUACCAAUUUUGAUUCAUGUUAAAACCUAUUUUUUCAAACUCCUCUUAGAUCGUUGGUCCGAAUUUUACCAAAUUUGACUCGGAUCAUCUUCAGACCAAGCUGGCAAAAAGUUAUGGAUUUCGUGUCGAUAUACUAAGCGGUUUUCGUUUAGCGCAUCAACUAAUUUGCUGGAAAGAUGCCAAACUGCAUCUGAGGCUGUAUCUCUGCAAAGAUUUUACAUAUUGACACCAAACUUUGUAUGUGCCAUUGUCACCUCACACUGACCAGGCCACACCAUUUUGGUAAUGGCGCCACCUAUUGGUCAAGAAUGAUAAACUAUUCAUUAACCAUUAAUUAUCAAAUUUCCAAAAAUCUAAUUACUUUUGAUUGCAUUAGCCUAUUAUAAUGAAAAUGUUCUCAAAAUAUUCCUUGGAUCAUGUCGACAACAUAGAUACCAAUUAUGCCAUUGUGGGCCGAAACUUCCUGUCCACCAUUUUGAUUUAUAUAGAAAACCUACUUUUUCUAACUCCUCCUUCGACCAUCGGUCCGAUUUUCGCCAAAAUCGAAUCAGAUCAUCAUUAGACACAGAUCAUCAUUAGACAGUGCAGACAAAAAGUUAUGGAAUUUGUGUUGAUUGACAAACCAUUUUUCGUAUAGCUCCGCAUAAAAAUUUGAGGAAUUAUAGCCAGAUUAUGUCGUGAGGCUGUAUCUCUAGCUAAACCUUAACGUACUGACACCAAACUUUGUGUGUGCCAUUGUUACCUCACACAGAACACAUCACUUUUGACCAAUCGCCACCUAUUGGUCAAAAGUGAUAGCCAUUAAAUCAUAUUACGAGAAGUUGUGUUUAUGAUUUUUUUUAGCCAAUUUGCUUCAAAUUAUAAUAAACUUGCUUUAAUUACUAAUUUUUGCAGUUGGCCUGAAGCUCCAUGCCAUGCUUAGCUCCUCAUUUUGCUGUUGGAGUGCUUGGCCUCUUAAUUGCUGGAUUAUUAAAAAUGCUUUUGCUUGAAAUGAUCUUGAAAGCUUAAACUUUUUAAUUUUAUUUUACUUCUAAUAAAGGUAGGAAUUAAUUUAUUCUAAUAUAAUAGUGUUAUAUGACUGUUAAUAUAUUAAAUAUGAAUUAUAUAAUAAUA